CGGCGGCGGAGGAGGGGGGAAGGGGCUGCGGCCGCAGCGGAGUGAGGGGGGUAGGUAGAGAGAGGAGACCAGUACGGGCGCGGCGGCGUCGUCAUCUCGGGUUGGUUGGUCGGUUGUCAUCGUACGCGGCGCAGAACGCCGCGCCCGACCCGUAGGAGGAGCAGGGUGAGGGACCGGGUGAGUCGGCCGGCGGCGGCUAGGGAGAGCGACGAGAGGAGGAGGAGGGCGCGGCGGACCUACGGAAGAAGGCUGCCGGGAAGACGCUGAUGUCGCCCCCGGCGCGGCAGCUCGUCAAGAGGCUGCUGCUCAUGCUGGUGCUCAUGCUCCUGGUGGCCGGCAGCAGCAGCCACCGCUUGUAGCUGCUCACCUCCACCUUCGACUCGUACGACGUCGCGUUACGCCUCCUCGUCCUCUAGUAGAGGUCCCUGGCCUCCCUGGCGGCCCUGAUACUGGUCUAGCGGUUGGAGCGGUUCUCCUACCCCGAGAUGUCACUCGACAUACCCUUCCAAUAACAACGCUCGUUCCAGGGCGACGGCUUGAUGUCCGGCCUGGACCUGCUGUUCGCGGGCGUUUCUCUCCGCUCAGGUACGUUAGGUUACCACCACUAGGGCGAUUCGAACGUCUCCUCCCAACUUCCUAAACACGUCCUCGUGGAACUGGCAAGCGAGAACGGUAAAUUAUUUCUGCCACCGUUCAGUCUCUCACCAAGACUCUUUCGACUCGUACACUUGAACCUACUCUUCGUCCUAGGAGACGAGCUGCUCAGCCAAUACCUCUUCUAGGAAGUCUCCUUCUCAGAAUCCUACGCGUUAAAAGUUUCUUCAACCGUCCUUAGUGGACUUCCGCGAUUCUACCAUCUUAAAGCCUUUAGUGAGGGUCGUAUGUUCCUCUUCCUUUCCGAAGAUCGUCGGUAACGUGCAUUAGUCCAAUAUCAAUAAAGACCCCUCUGUCCCACACCUUUUUGUUGUGUCAACGGAGUUAAACACAACCUCAGUCUCUAUCUUAGACCAGCUCCCCGGAAAACAUUGUAUUAGACAUGUGUCGGUGCUUCUUAUAGACGUUACCGACAACGUCUUUCUCAUAGGUGGCUUUCUCCUCUUUUGGAACCACUUAGCCAACCGAUGUUUCAAGCUAACCUCCCUUAAUCUCCUUUUCUAUGUGUAAAUGAAAAGACGUGGUCACCAUAAAAUGAUUCUGCUAACGACUCACUGGCUUUGAACUUACCUCAUAGAGUACAUAAACAACUACUUUAUGUACUUUCUCCCUACUUACUUCUAAAGAAUAACUAACAAGAUUUCCUGGAUAACAGUGCCGCGGCGCUAGAUUCCAACUAUAACUACUCACGAUGAAAUUUACGCCUUGACAAGAGUUCAAUAAAGCCUCCUCGCGGUUGAUAGGUGUAAGGACCUAAGUGUGUAGGUCACUCCCGCGUAAAAGACCUUCUGUAUAAUCUCUCCUGUCCGAUAUUCUACUGUCGUUCAUUAGUUGAACUGCUAAUGCCGGUUCUAUUUCACACCUUCUGAGUCUCUGUCGAUAAUGGUUCUUUUUCCUUUUUAGUUUAAUGAUGUGAACAGCUCCUACGGGAAGUUUUAAGCUUGAAACUUUGGAUACCGAGUUCCUGUGCACUAAGAGACCGUUUGACCUUAGGACUAACGUAUCCCAAAUUAGAGUAUCUCCGACAAGACACGGUGUAUACAGCGUUUCUCGCUCGACCACGUCAAAAUCAAAAAUACUGGCCUACCCUACUGUAAUCGAGAAACUUCCUAGUUGAUUUUCGCGUAGGCAACGAUCCGCUGGGUUUAUCUCACAAUGACGAACGUACGGUACCAAGGUACCGAUGGAGACUCGUCUCCGAUUAUAAACUGUUCCGUGGAGGAUUACAAGCCUUCCAUCAUGAACGGUGAUUGUACCGUCUCCGUUCAUAAUGGUAUUUACUGUAGCAAAAGCAGUACCUAACACCUUUUCGUUUCCUUUGGUGUAUGCUACGAGAUUUGUUGUGAGGGACGAACGAGGGGAGUACCUAAAGUUUCCGAAGAAGGGCAGUCUCCUCCCCGUCUCGACCAGCACAGGUUGGACCUCUUACGAUAGUAGAGAUGGGGGCUACACAUAUACUACGUAAACGUCUCAUGGUCGAAGGUCUCGAAGAAUCCUGAGGAAACUUAAGUGAUACAAACGUCUAUUUUUCAAACGUCCAACUGUCGUAACCCCUCAAAGAUAGUCGACGAAACGUCGGAGGUCUUGGUGCUCGGCAGGUUUUACGUCACCUUAAGGACUUCUACUAGCCUAGUAAUCUACUCUUGCUCUUGGAAUGACUAGAUCCUUCUAUGGAGAGGUACGAAGGUCAACUAGGCUUCAACCCCUUCUACGAAUAUUACCCACGUCAAAAGGCAACGUAACUGGGAUAUGAAUGACACCAACGACCUAACUCACGGGCCCUAGGAAAGGACAACGGUGUCCUGUUCUUUCUAAACCGUCCUUGACGUUUUAGUUCUAAGAGUCGCUUUCUAAUAUCACUAGUAUACCGGGAACAUGCUCGAAUACUUCCUACCUUCCUACGACUCUCCCUUCCUAGACCAAUACUCAUGACAACCUCCUUAAAGGAAAGACGAGUUUGUGAUGUUCGGUAAGUAAGAGAAGCUUUCGUUAAGUCGAUAUAGAAUUUCCUGCGGCCAAACUAUCUGAGACUACGUUUAUGUUUAUUAUCAAACUCGGUAUUAGUUAGUAAUCAAGCACCACAUUAAACAAGACCUGAAAAAGGACCCUAUAGUAGACAACACGUAUCCCUUUUGAGGUACAGGAAGUUCUGGUACCUACUGCCGGUUCAAGAACAAAUACGAUUGAGGCACUUACGAUUCAUGGUCUGGUAGGGAAUAGGUACCGACCAGAAACCACUCUUCCACUUCCAUUUACGACAGAAGUAGGCACUAAGUUGACCUCAUAGUCUAAGGUAUGACUAGAAUAAACCACCACGACAAUGUUUUCCUUCGCGCCGACCCGUAAACUUCUACGAACUACCAAUGUAACUAGAUAAAUACCUAGGGUCGGACAGUCUCACGAUGAACGUUGAAUUUCUCCUUGAACUAUUUGAACAUGUCUUCUUCGAACUUCUGGGUUGGAAACUGUAAGUGUUCCUUCCGUUUAUGUAAAAUAAACGACGUGUUCUCGAACGACGCCCGCUGGAUACACUUCCUUCCAAACACAAGCCGGCUCUUUGCUCGUCUCGAUCCGAAGCCCUGUUGCUUCUGCCGUUUUCGUUGUAGUAUUUCCUACCAUACUUGGGUUUCUCGGACGACGUCUGGAACGACUACUCCCGUCCGGUGUGCGGAGGUUUCAUGUUCUGUUUCGUGGAGUUCUGGUUGCUCAAGUCCCGGUACCACCUCAAGUUUCCCUACGUCAAGCAGCCCUUCGGCUUCUCCUUGUUCGUCCAGCGCCUCUCCCUGCGGCGCUAUCUUCGAGACCCUACCAACUGUGUUUGCAGGCCAUGCUUCGAGGUCCUACUCCCACUGCUGAGGGGCGAGCUGGACUGGCUAUUGUACGAAUUCGACGAAAGAUCUGGUUCCUUUGCCUGCUCUUUAUUGGGCUUCUUUACUAAAGACGUUCCCCUCCUUUCCUUUGGAGACCUAAAACAAGGUGAGGCAACCAGGAGUUCCGUUGGACAGAACCCAUACUCCGCUGGAACGACUACUCCCGUCCGGUGUGCGGAGGUUUGACCACCACGAGGAAAGGAGAGUUUAGGUAUGGUUGAAAAUUCAGACCAAGUCCAAUACUACAAUCUUCCGUCGCACCUCGCUUGGCCACUGCUACCGUAGGCACUCCUCCACCGUGUUCCUUCCGUCUCACCAUAAGCCCUCCAAAAGAAAAGGUAUUUUUGAGCUUACGGUUUUAAAGAGCUUAUCGGUAC
rnacentral:rRNA from 1 species